CCCGGUUUCGGCCCCCGCGACCUCCGCGGGGUUGGCUCGGGAGGGGCGGCGGCCUCUGGGCCCAGGUGGGCGGAGGCAGGUGCGUCCCUCCGCCCCCGCUGCCCCGCAGCGGACGCCGUCCCAGCCGAGCUCGGCCGCGGGGAUUCACCCUCCUUCCUCCUGGCGCGGCCCGCAGGCCCCGCUUCUCUGUUACCCGCCCCCCGGGAGCGCGGGGCACCAGAGAGGACGCAGCUCGCGGCCACCUCCCCCCCGCACCACGGCGGCCACGAAGGCCAGAGCUGAACAAGCCAUAUUUCCUGAAACCGAGGAGCUAUAAAAACUGA
rnacentral:lncRNA from 1 species